GCGCGAAAACUUUACAAUGCGGGAAACCGUGAUAGGGGAACUCCGAGUGCCCGUAAAAUCGGGCUGUCCACCAGUUUAAAUAACUGGUGAAGAAAGGGCCGGGCAAGACCGGUGCCAGCCGCCGCGGUAAUACCGGCGGCUCGAGUGGUGGCCACUAUUACUGGGCUUAAAGCGUUCGUAGCUGGUUUGUUAAGUCUCUGGGGAAAUCUUCCGGCUUAACCGGAAGGCGUCUCAGGGAUACUGGCAGACUAGGGACCGGGAGAGGUGAGGGGUACUCCAGGGGUAGGAGUGAAAUCCUGUAAUCCUUGGGGGACCACCGUGUGGCGAAGGCGCCUCACCAGAACGGCUCCGACAGUGAGGGACGAAAGCUGGGGGAGCGAAACCGGAUUAGAUACCCGGGUAGUCCCAGCUGUAAACGAUGCGCGUUAGGUGUAUCAGUGACCACGAGUCACUGAGGUGCCGAAGAGAAAUCGUGAAACGUGCCGCCUGGGAAGUACGGUCGCAAGGCUGAAACUUAAAGGAAUUGGCGGGGAGCACCGACAACAGGUGGAGCCUGUAC
rnacentral:rRNA from 1 species